rnacentral:rRNA from 1 species
GCAUAACGCGAAGAACCUUACCCACCUUUGACAUGUACGGAAUCCUUUAGAGAUAGAGGAGUGCUCGAAAGAGAGCCGUAACACAGGUGCUGCAUGGCUGUCGUCAGCUCGUGUCGUGAGAUGUUGGGUUAAGUCCCGCAACGAGCGCAACCCUUGCCAUUAGUUGCUACGAAAGGGCACUCUAAUGGGACUGCCGGUGACAAACCGGAGGAAGGUGGGGAUGACGUCAAGUCCUCAUGGCCCUUAUAGGUGGGGCUACACACGUCAUACAAUGGCUGGUACAGAGGGUUGCCAACCCGCGAGGGGGAGCUAAUCCCAUAAAGCCAGUCGUAGUCCGGAUCGCAGUCUGCAACUCGACUGCGUGAAGUCGGAAUCGCUAGUAAUCGCGGAUCAGAAUGUCGCGGUGAAUACGUUCCCGGGUCUUGUACACACCG